ACCCGGUGAUCUAGCCAUGGGCAGGUUGAAGGUUGGGUAACACUAACUGGAGGACCGAACCGACUAAUGUUGAAAAAUUAGCGGAUGACUUGUGGCUGG
rnacentral:rRNA from 1 species